rnacentral:rRNA from 1 species
GAUGAACGCUGGCGGCGUGCCUAACACAUGCAAGUCGAACGGGACUAUCAAGUGAUGUUUUCGGACUGAACUUUUUAGUUUAGUGGCGGACGGGUGAGUAACGCGUGGACAACCUGCCUCUCACUGGGGGAUAGCAGCUGGAAACGGCUGGUAAUACCGCAUGCGUUCAAUGUGCCGCAUGACACAUUGAAGAAAGAUUUAUCGGUGAGAGAUGGGUCCGCGUCUGAUUAGCCAGUUGGCGGGGUAACGGCCCACCAAAGCGACGAUCAGUAGCCGGCCUGAGAGGGCGGACGGCCACAUUGGGACUGAGACACGGCCCAGACUCCUACGGGAGGCAGCAGUGGGGGAUAUUGCACAAUGGGCGCAAGCCUGAUGCAGCGACGCCGCGUGAGUGAAGAAGUAUUUCGGUAUGUAAAGCUCUAUCAGCAGGGAAGAAAGGCCCGCAAGGGAGAUGACGGUACCUGACUAAGAAGCCCCGGCUAACUACGUGCCAGCCGCCGCCGUAAUAC